UGGGGAAUUUUGGACAAUGGGCGAAAGCCUGAUCCAGCAAUGCCGCGUGUGUGAAGAAGGCCUUCGGGUUGUAAAGCACUUUUGUCCGGAAAGAAAUCCUUGGCUCUAAUACAGUCGGGGGAUGACGGUACCGGAAGAAUAAGCACCGGCUAACUACGUGCCAGCAGCCGCGGUAAUACGUAGGGUGCAAGCGUUAAUCGGAAUUACUGGGCGUAAAGCGUGCGCAGGCGGUUUGCUAAGACCGAUGUGAAAUCCCCGGGCUCAACCUGGGAACUGCAUUGGUGACUGGCAGGCUAGAGUAUGGCAGAGGGGGGUAGAAUUCCACGUGUAGCAGUGAAAUGCGUAGAGAUGUGGAGGAAUACCGAUGGCGAAGGCAGCCCCCUGGGCCAAUACUGACGCUCAUGCACGAAAGCGUGGGGAGCAAACAGGAUUAGAUACCCCUGGUAGUCCACGCCCUAAAACGAUGUCAACUAGUUGUUGGGGAUUCAUUUCCUUAGUAACGUAGCUAACGCGUGAAGUUGACCGCCUGGGGAGUACGGUCGCAAGAUU
rnacentral:rRNA from 1 species